rnacentral:rRNA from 1 species
CUUGAUUAGUGGCGCACGGGUGAGUAAUGCAUAGAUAAUGUGCCCCUUAGUUCGGGAUAGCCACUGGAAACGGUGAUUAAUACCGGAUACUCCUUCUUGUUAUAAGACAAGUCGGGAAAGUUUUUCGCUAAGGGAUCAGUCUAUGUUCCAUCAGCUUGUUGGUGAGGUAAUGGCUCACCAAGGCUAUGACGGAUAUCUGGUUUGAGAGGAUGAUCAGACACACUGGAACUGAGACACGGUCCAGACUCCUACGGGAGGCAGCAGAGAGGAAUAUUGCACAAUGGAGGAAACUCUGAUGCAGCAACGCCGCGUGGAGGAUGACGCAUUUCGGUGUGUAAACUCCUUUUAUUAGGGAAGAUAAUGACGGUACCUAAUGAAUAAGCACCGGCUAACUCCGUGCCAGCAGCCGCGGUAAUACGGAGGGUGCAAGCGUUACUCGGAAUCACUGGGCGUAAAGGGUGCGUAGGCUGGCUUUUAAGUCAGAUGUGAAAUCCAAUGGCUCAACCAUUGAACUGCAUUUGAAACUGAAAGCCUAGAGUUCAGAAGGGGCAGAUGGAAUUAGUGGUGUAGGGGUAAAAUCCGUAGAUAUCACUAGGAAUAUCAAAAGCGAAGGCGAUCUGCUGGGAUGAUACUGACGCUG